CUACGGGUGGCUGCAGUGAGGAAUAUUGGGCAAUGGAGGCAACUCUGACCCAGCCAUGCCGCGUGCAGGAAGACGGCCCUCUGGGUUGUAAACUGCUUUUGUUUGGGAAUAAACCCUUCUACGUGUAGGAGGCUGAAGGUACCAUUCGAAUAAGGAUCGGCUAACUCCGUGCCAGCAGCCGCGGUAAUAUGGAGGAUCCAAGCGUUAUCCGGAUUUAUUGGGUUUAAAGGGUCCGUAGGCGGGUCUUUAAGUCAGUGGUGAAAGCCCACAGAUCAACUGUGGAACUGCCAUUGAUACUGGAGAUCUUGAGUGUAGUAGAAGUAGGCGGAAUAGGGCAUGUAGCGGUGAAAUGCAUAGAUAUGCCCUAGAACACCGAUUGCGAAGGCAGCUUACUAUGUUACAACUGACGCUGAGGGACGAAAGCGUGGGGAGCAAACAGGAUUAGAUACCCUUGUAGUC
rnacentral:rRNA from 1 species